CGGGGAGUCUACGCGACCGGCUUUAUGAAAGGCUAUUAGAACAAACAGCCAUGAAGGUGUGGCUGUCAACACUCAUUAGUGCUGCUGUCACCAUCACCACUCCGAAUAAUUGGUUGGCUGUAAUAUGCUGGAUGCUGGUGCUCCAACUACAGCACGCCAUGAAUACCAAUGUGGCAUCCCAGCAUGAAAAGACAUGCAGACAUAUUGUUGCUGUCAGGUGGAAAAACAUGAGGUUUCCAGGAAGAAUUAAAGGGAGAGUGAUCUGCCAUGACAUUGGGAGCAUGAGAGAGUGAGAACUGAAUGGAAAGAAAGUGAAUGAAAGACACAGAUAGUGAGAGAGCUCAAGGUAAAACAGACCAACAGGACUGAAAGAGGAGUACCAAGGAGAGGUCGAUCCAGGGUCGGUGAAGGCCCGGCGGCCAUGGAUCCUUCUCUAGGAGGACAGACUCUGAUAAGGCCCAGGCAGCUCAUACAGUGCUGAGGUUUAUGAGGGCACCAAGAUAACAGCCUGCUGAUAGGACCAAGCAACUCAGCUGGACUGCAGAUAAGAGGCAAGGACUUGUUGCCCUCAACGGGAACAAGAUUUCUAAUUUCUACAGACCCUGCGCUACUGUGGCAGCAG